rnacentral:rRNA from 1 species
UUCCUACGGGGGGCAGCAGUGGGGAAUUUUGGGCAAUGGGCGCAAGCCUGAUCCAGCUAUUCCGCGUGUGGGAUGACGUCCCUCGGGUUGUAAACCACUUUAGUAGAGAACGAAAAGGAGCUAUCGAAUAAAUAGCUCUGCUGACGGUACUCUAAGAAUAAGCACCGGCUAACUACGUGCCAGCAGCCGCGGUAAUACGUAGGGUGCGAUCGUUAAUCGUAAUUACUUGACGUAAAGGGUGUGCAGGCGGCUGAGUAAGACAGAUGUGUAAUCCCCGGGCUUAACCUGG